rnacentral:lncRNA from 1 species
AAUAAUGAGAUAGAUGCCUGAAUUGAUGCCUGUGCCAGAUACCAUCUUCUUCAGCAAUGUGGUUUUACCCUUGACUUCCAGAAAGGAAGGAAGAGCAAUGGCAGCAGUCUUUAAUGAUUGGGGAGUAUGUAUGAGACUCAAUGAUGAGCAACCUCAAACAAGGAUCAUGCAGAGGUAGACAUGGUGUUGGAGAAGUAGCUGAGAGUUCUGGAUCUGGAUCUGCAG